AGAAUUUUGAAAAGAUCCCUCAACUUGUAUGGCACCGCCGGAGUAGUGGCUUCCAUGGCAACGCGGCCUGAGGGUUGGACCGAGUCUCAGGUUAGGCGCCGGUUCGUUGUCACUGAUAAUACGCAUCCAUGGUUUCAACAGCAUCCUGAACACCAUUCGCUCCCUGAAGUGAAAGGGGUCGCACCAGGGCAUUCCGCAGAAAAGGAAGGAAUCCCACAGAAGUAAUGGUAGACUUCUAAAGAUCCUCGCAAUUGUAAGGAAGACUAUGACAUUGUAACUCCUGGAAGUGGAUACAGACUUAAUGUAAUUAUUGUCCAAUGCUUGAAAUGUCAAUCUGAAGAAAUUCAGUGGAUGAAAGAAACUGCAGAUUAUGGAAUUUGGAGCAACAUAAAAGAUACUUGA